UAACGACUUCGGAGGCUAGCGGGGCUUAGCCGGGGCAGCGCCCGCAGGUUUGGGGGUGGGCGGGGUUUGGUUUAUUCAGAUUUUAGGGAUCUUUUCAGAGAGGAGUUUCAGGGCCCGCGGAAGCCGUUCGUUUCAUGCCUUUCCUCUGAUCCCAGAAUCCAAGCGGCUUCUCCGGGGAGACAGCACAGAGCCAACCCAGCCAAAGACCCGGGCAGCCUGCGGGCUCCCCCGGCUUUCUCCCUAGCCGCGCUUCCUAUAGAUUGAAGAGUGUUGUUCCACCCGGGCUGCAGCCCUUCCUAGCUCUGUAUGUAGCUAGCAGUAGAAAGCUAGCACAGAUGAUUAACCCAGUCCCCUUCGUGACACGGCGAGGACAUUAAUCCUGUCACCCGGGGCGAUUCCUUAGGAAUCACGCGGCGGUUUCGUUCUGCUUUUCAUCAUUCGACCCGGUUAGAGGAAUCCACUAGACUUCUCGCCAAAGUGCACUGCCAUCGAUCCUGCUCUCGUGGGCCUCUCUGGCCCCAUAAAAUCUUUCGGUGCCGAGGCCUCUCCUAGAUAUCGUUGGCUCUGUCUGUUCCCAGGACGGGACGGCGGCAAAUCGUAGGGGGAUGAGCGACUCUCCCCGAGUAGGAGACCCAGACGAAUUUCUUAGAACCCAGACUUCGGGGGGUACAGAAGAAAAUCUGGGGUUGGUAGUGUGCCCCCCUUUUACCGUUGCAGACAAUCGGCGGAGUUCUUUAGCUCUUUCCCACAUGGGAAUCACAUUUUAAAAAUAAAUCCUACAGAGCAACGUCACUAAACCCCCCCAGGCGUUAAAUCAGCCCCCCAGAUUCAUUUAUUCUUUUAAAUAAACAAACAACAAAACACCGAACAAGGCACGAACGAUAAUCUGAAGAGCUGGCAGAUUCCUGCCCGCCUCGUCCGGCUGCAGAGUGUCAACAUGCGGGGUCCCAUCCUCCCUCUGCCCAGGACACCCGCACGGGGACUGGGACCUGGAAACUGCUGUCCAUGGUGCUGAAAUGCAGGUCCCUGCCUGCCCGUUUCCCGUAGCGCCUGACCCACACAGCAAGGCUGGUUUGCACUUUGCAUGGACAAGGAAGACUACACCCGGAAAGGGGGUCGGCACAAACACAGGGCCUUUGCUGGAAACUAGUCCCCCAAAACUCCCACACCCCACGAAGGUGCAUACCGUGCUGCUAUAGCUCCGGGUGCUGCAUUUUUAGUUGAUACCUUCCUAUUUUCAAACACUGGAGGUGGCAAGUGGAGGGUCCUGAAUUUGUUUUUUGAAGGGAGGGGAUAUUUCUUUUUUACUGUGUACCGUACGGUGCUUAUUAAUUCAUUAAUUAAUUAAUUAUUACUGUCAGAUUUAUUUUUAAAAGGCAAACAGACCUGAAUGGAGAGACUGGUGUUGCCCAGGCCCCGAGAAGCUCCGGAUCGAGAGGUUCACACAUAGAAUAACGUCAGAAAAAUCUCAUUCAUAAUGUACAUCUUUUUAAAUAUGGAAUGAAAUUACAUAGCCGCACUAUGACUAGACACUAUACACUAUGGGUGUGUAUUACACACACGAUAACAUUGACACAGAAGUCUGUGUACACACUAAUGUCUGGGUAUAUGUGCGUGUAGGUAUUUUUAUAACAAUAUUUUUGCUGUGCUCAUUAAACCCACGUAUAAGAGACACACAAAAUAUGGUUAUAAAAGCCUACACGUAUUUUAUAACACCAUUGCUGCGGUGUUUGUUACAGGAGUGUCUAAUUAGUACAUCAACAAUAGUGUUAUACAAUAUGUACACGCACUUUUAUAACACUAUUUUCAUGUGUUUAUUAUAUACAAUUAAUGAUGUCAUAUGUAUAAGAUACAUCUAUAGUAUGUAGUUUUACGUAAACGUAUAACACAAAUAGUGUGAUGAAAGUGGAUACAUGUACCAAACGUGUGUCCUAUCUGCAUAUUAAAGUGUUUCGUGCAUGGUU